UUAGCUCCACAGUCCACACACACACCUAACCCUAAUUCCCCAUUCUCUCCUCCCGUCCCCUCAGCCGCCACCAUUCCACCAAUCUUCCUCCGUGCGCUCCACGCCGGCGCCGCCGCAGAACAGGCCUUACAUGUGCCGAUCCAUCGAUGCCCUCUUUUCUCCCCUCUAUAUGCCUCGCCCCUCCCCAUCUUUCCCACCGCCACAGCCACCAGCCGCCCCCACCGCCAUUCCAGAUCACGCCCUCGAGCUGCGGCGGCAGCGGUGGCGGCGGGUCCGACUGCCGCGGCUGGACGACAGUCGACGCCGUCCCCUACCUCCCGGCGCAGAUCAGUCCGCCUCCCUGGGUCGCAGUUGAGUAGCGCACGUGCCGCAACGAUCCCCAUGAUGUGCUGGCCAUCUGAACCAAAUCAAGGCCGACGAGGAGUCUCUAAUGUCCUGUGCGGCAGCCACGGGUCCAUCUUCAGUCGGCGGCGAGCUACGGUGAGGUACACAUGGCGCUGAUAGAUGCAGUGUACAGGGGCGCCGCCGCCAUGGAGCUGGCCACCGGCUUUGCUGCCGCGACGGGCGCUGCCUCCUCUGCUUUGCCAGGGCCCUCCUGCCCUGCGUUUAUCUGCUGCUCCUUGUCAUCAUCUCCGUGGGCAAUGCCCCUGAACCCCAUUCUCUAGCUAUCCGGCAGCGUGCUGGACGUCGUCCUCCUCGACGCGGCCAUCCCCGACGAGCUCUUUUGGUCAGAGGAGGUGGAGCAGCAAGGCCUCCUAUCCUCCAGCGCGUGGACCGACAACUGUGUCCUCCUGCUCUCCUAGUGUGGACAAUUAUCCGUAUUGAUUGUUUCCAUGACAGCAAACUAUAUGCAUAUCUAGGAUAUGAUGCAAGCAUGCAGUAGCAUGAGAUCUCUUUCCUAAUUCUAGGACAUGAUGUGAAGCUUGCAUCCGAUUUUAAGGUAUUGAAUUACACUGAAUUUGCUGGAGAACAACUUUUCCUAGAAAACUUAAAGAACAAGUUCUGAGGUGGAACUAAGGGGCUUUAGGUACGGAGAUUGUCUGACAGCGGCACACGCGAUGGUCCUCACAUGUGCGAUUUGGCAAGGAAGUAUGUGAUCACAGUAUUGCUGUUGUCAGCGGCGGCUUCCCUUGCCGCAUACAAUUUCUCUCAAUCAAUAUUUUAUUUGCCAGAUUGGUCCUUUGGCUGUAUUUUGGUCUCCUGCAGGAUGAACAUGGGGAUUGGUUGGGCCGGUGCUUCCAGACUUGCCUGAAAUGGAAUCCUCCAGUUGAGGAAGAUUGAUUCUUGCAGAUGUGAGGGAAGAACUUGUGGAGAGGCUCACCUCGCUCUUCACAAAAGGCCAAUACAUACUUGUUGUACUACUGGAUGAACUUAUAUUUUUAUAUAUGUUUGUAAAUGUUUCCAAUGUGGCUUUAGUGAUGUCAUCUAGGAUCCUUGUUGUAAUGGACGAAUUUUUUUAGAAAUGGUAAUGGAUGAAAUAACUUGGGAAUUUGUGAACUGGGCCAAAUUAUGGGCUUGGUAAAUAAAAAUUAUUGAGUUGUGUAA